UGGUUUUUUGAGGAUUUUUUUUUUGGGGGGGGGGGGAAGAGGGGAAUUUCUGGUUUUUGUUUUGUUUUUGGAUACAAAUCUGUUUUACCGUGCAUCCUGUCCUCAGCCUGGGAGCUGAGGAGGACUGUUAUGUUCAGGAGUCUAUCGGUGGGUUAGCUACAACUGUCUCAUGAUGGAGUCCUAAGAAAGCAAUUCCCGAUUAUCCUUUUCACCAUAAUCUGUGCUUUCAUGGAAGAGACAGAAAGCUGAAAAUCACAGGCUCUGAUUUUUGUUCAGAAACCAUUCCUAUUUCCUUUUUUGCAGGAAUGCAGCUAGAGCAGUAUGUUGUGACAUGGAAACAUGGGAGCUGCCCUGCCUUUGUAAAUAUUGAUGUUGUUCUGAAAGAAAGUUUCAAAAAAAGAGAAACAAACUAAAAUUCACAUUCAGUUCUUAUUCAUUCUGUUACUGACUCUAGCGUGCAUCUACAAAUUGACCACUGUAAACCUACUCAGAUCCAUCAAGUAUUAUAAGCAUUGUACCAGAAAUAGAAAAAGGAGGUGAAGCAAGCCCUUGGGGAAUUCAGUGGUUCAUUAGACUGCAAGCUGGGGUUUUGGGGUUUUUUUCCUAAUAUAAUUACUCUUUCCUUUCUUGUGCUCUUUUCCUAGGCCUCUUAAAGCUCAUGGAUCAAUUGUCAGGGCUAGACUCUGAUCCUGUUGCUGUGUUUGGGUUCCCCUCUGCUGGGGCUGAGAGCUCUAAACCGGACAUGCUGCAACUCUGGUUCUCCUCUGGGUGGUCCAUGUGGCACACAUCCUGAGCACGCUAACCUUGGGAUGUGGGCUUUUGUUACAGAAGAAUUGUGGAUGGGGACUGGAAAAGUACCUGCCUCUGCUCCCCUCCCUUUCUCAUGAGGAAAUCUCCUGCCUUGAAAUGGAAGUGAUUAUCAAAGGAAGGAAGAUAUCCCACAGAAUGGAGACCAACUCAUUGAUGCUUGAGAAGCACAUAGAUAUCACAGACAGAACCUGCACAAAGAGGGAAUUUGGAAUUCCAGUUUUGGAAUAUGGUUGUGUGGAGCUGGGGCAACUGUGUGAAUGAAGAAAAGGCUGAUGCUGAGAAUGGACCAGGGACUAAAUGAGGAAACAAUCCUGGGGGAAGUCUAGUAUGCAAUCAGAGAUAUGUACAGAACUGGUGCUGUAAGGAUUUAGUGGAUAAGCUCAACUCAGGCAUCUUCUACAUUUCCAGCACUUUGGUCCGUGACCUUUGCAAACAUUCUGGAGCUUCUACCUCCUUGGCUUGGCUGCCUUUUAAAUUUUGGUACUUGUCUUGGAAGUGACAGGCUUUGCUUUACC
rnacentral:lncRNA from 1 species